CAAUAGCGUAUAUUUAAGUUGUUGCAGUUAAAAAGCUCGUAGUUGGAUUUCGGAUGGGACUUGCCGGUCCGUCGUUUCGAUGUGCACUGGCCAGUCCUAUCUUGUUGUCGGGGACUAGCUCCUGGGCUUCACUGUCCGGGACUAGGAGCUGACGAGGUUACUUUGAGUAAAUUAGAGUGUUCAAAGCAAGCCUACGCUCUGAAUACAUUAGCAUGGAAUAACACGAUAGGACUCUGGCUUAUCUUGUUGGUCUGUGAGACCAGAGUAAUGAUUAAGAGGGACAGUCGGGGGCAUUCGUAUUUCAUUGUCAGAGGUGAAAUUCUUGAAUUUAUGAAAGACGAACUUCUGCGAAAGCAUUCGUCAAGGAUGUUUUCAUUAA
rnacentral:rRNA from 1 species